CCAGGACAUCUCAGACACCCAGCAGGGACAGUCAGAAGCUCACCUCCCGAGACUCAGGAGGAAGAGCACAGCAGCCCGGCAAAGGCCCCCUCUGUGAAGAGAACCCCCAUGCUGGACAAGACUGCCACCCCAGAGAACGCCCCCAGCUCCAAGAAGAUCCCGGCUCCUGACAAAGUCCCCUCCCCAGAGAAGACCCUCACUCUAGGGGACAAGGCCUCUAUCCCAGGGAACUCCACCUCGGGGAAGAUCCCAGCUCCUGACAAAGUCCCCACCCCAGAGAAGAUGGUGACUCCGGAGGACAAGUCUUCUAUCCCAGAGAACUCCAUCAUCCCAGAGGAGACCCUGACUGUGGACAAACCCUCCACUCCAGAGAGGGUCUUUUCAGUGGAAGAGGCCCCUGCCCUAGAAGUCCCACCUAUGGAUAAAGUCCCUGAUCCAAAGAUGGCCCCUCUGGGGGAUCAGGUCCCCACCCUAGAAAAGGUCUUGACUCCAGAGCUUUCUGAAGAAGAGGUGUCCACCAGAGAUGACAUUCAAUUCCAUCACUUCUCUUCGGAGGAAACCCUGCAGAAGGUCAAGUACUUUGUAGCCAAAGAGGAUCCAUCAUCCCAGGAGGAGGCCCACACGCCAGAGGCACCCCCACCCCAGCCUCCUUCCUCAGAGAGGUGCCUGGGAGAGAUGAAAUGUCCCCUAGUUAGAGGGGACAGCUCCCCACGCCAGGCUGAGUUGAAGUCUGGGCCAGCGUCCAGGCCUGCCCUUGAGAAGCCCCACCCCCACAAAGAGGCUACAACCCUUCUAGAGGAGGCACCUUCCAAAGACGAGAGGACCCCUGAAGAGGAGGCGCCCCCCAACGAGGAGAGGCCUCUGAGAGAGGAGGUGCUCCCCGAAGAGGGAGUGGCUUCCAAGGAGGAGGUAACCCCGAAAGAGGAGUUACCCCCAAAAGAGGUGCCCCCUAAAGAGGAAGUGGCUCCAAAAGAGGAGGUGCCCCCUAUAGAAAGAGCCUUUGCCCAAAAAACACGUCCUAUCAAGCCGUCUCCAGACUCCCAAGAGACGCUCACCCUCCCCUCCCUGGUCCCGCAAAACUACACGGAAAACAAGAAUGAGGGAGUCGAUGUAACGUCGCUGAGGGGCGAG
rnacentral:sRNA from 1 species